rnacentral:rRNA from 1 species
UACAGAGGGGGCAAGCGUUGUUCGGAAUUACUGGGCGUAAAGGGCGCGUAGGCGGCCUUCUAAGUCGAACGUGAAAUCCCCGGGCUCAACCCGGGAACUGCGUCCGAGACUGAAAGGCUCGAAUCCGGGAGAGGGAUGUGGAAUUCCAGGUGUAGCGGUGAAAUGCGUAGAUAUCUGGAGGAACAUCGGCGGCGAAGGCGGCAUCCUGGACCGGGUAUUGACGCGUGAGGCGCGGAAAGCGUGGGGAGCGAACA